rnacentral:rRNA from 1 species
UACGGGGGGAGCAAGCGUUGUUCGGAAUUACUGGGCGUAAAGGGCUCGUAGGCGGCCAACUAAGUCAGACGUGAAAUCCCUCGGCUUAACCGAGGAACUGCGUCUGAUACUGGAUGGCUUGAAUCCGGGAGAGGGAUGCGGAAUUCCAGGUGUAGCGGUGAAAUGCGUAGAUAUCUGGAGGAACACCGGUGGCGAAGGCGGCAUCCUGGACCGGCAUUGACGCUGAGGAGCGAAAGCCAGGGGAGCAAACGGG